GACGAACGCUGGCGGCGUGCUUAACACAUGCAAGUCGAACGGAAAGGCCCUUCGGGGUCCUCGAGUGGCGAACGGGUGAGUAACACGUGGGUGAUCUGCCCUGCACUUUGGGAUAAGCCUGGGAAACUGGGUCUAAUACCGAAUAGGACCACGCGCUUCAUGGUGUGUGGUGGAAAGCUUUUGCGGUGUGGGAUGGGCCCGCGGCCUAUCAGCUUGUUGGUGGGGUAAUGGCAUACCAAGGCGACGACGGGUAGCCGGCCUGAGAGGGUGACCGGCCACACUGGGACUGAGAUACGGCCCAGAAUCCUACGGGAGGCAGCAGUGGGGAAUAUUGCACAAUGGGCGCAAGCCUGAUGCAGCGACGCCGCGUGAGGGAUGACGGCCUUCGGGUUGUAAACCUCUUUCACCAGGGACGAAGCGUAAGUGACGGUACCUGGAGAAGAAGCACCGGCCAACUACGUG
rnacentral:rRNA from 1 species